rnacentral:tRNA from 1 species
GCCCACGUAGCUCAGUCGGUAGAGCACUCGCAUGGUAAGUGAGCGGUCGGCGGUUCGAGUCCGCCCGUGGGCU